UCAGACAUGGUGUAAUGGGAACAUGGCUUUAUAUCGUAUAUCGUAUAUCUUCGUCCUCAUCGACAAAGGCAGUCCAGGGUUCGACUCCCUGUGUCUGAG